UACGAGAGGUCCAAACGUUAUUCGGAAUCACUGGGGCUUACAGAGUUCGUAGGCGGUCCAGAAAGUGGGGUGUGAAAGCCCUCGGCUCAACCGAGGAACUGCGCUCCAAACUACUGGGCUAGAGGAAGAUAGAGGUGAGCAGAACUGAUGGUGGAGCGGUGAAAUGCGUUGAUAUCAUCAGGAAUACCGGAGGCGAAGGCGGCUCACUGGGUCUUUUCUGACGCUGAGGAACGAAAGCUAGGGGAGCAAACGGG
rnacentral:rRNA from 1 species